CGCUGGCGGCAUGCCUAACACAUGCAAGUCGAACGGCAGCACAGCAGUAGCAAUACUGUGGGUGGCGAGUGGCGGACGGGUGAGGAAUACAUCGGAAUUUGCCCUGUCGUGGGGGAUAACGUAGGGAAACUUACGCUAAUACCGCAUACGACCUAACGGUGAAAGCGGGGGAUCGCAAGACCUCGCGCGGCUGGAGAAGCCGAUGUCAGAUUAGCUAGUUGGCGGGGUAAAGGCCCACCAAGGCGACGAUCUGUAGCUGGUCUGAGAGGAUGAUCAGCCACACUGGGACUGAGACACGGCCCAGACUCCUACGGGAGGCAGCAGUGGGGAAUAUUGGACAAUGGGCGCAAGCCUGAUCCAGCAAUGCCGCGUGUGUGAAGAAGGCCUUCGGGUUGUAAAGCACUUUUAUCUGGAACGAAACACGCAAGGUUAAUACCUUUGCGGACUGACGGUACCAGAGGAAUAAGCACCGGCUAACUUCGUGCCAGCAGCCGCGGUAAUACGAAGGGUGCAAGCGUUACUCGGAAUUACUGGGCGUAAAGCGUGAGUAGGUGGUUUCUUAAGUCUGCUGUGAAAGCCCCGGGCUCAACCUGGGAAUUGCAG
rnacentral:rRNA from 1 species